rnacentral:misc_RNA from 1 species
UCUCAAGCCUGGCUUGUUGUUGGACUUUCGGUCUGGGCUCGCCCCCGACCGGUCCCAAAAAUAAUGACGGCGUCCGUGGGACUCUCGGUGCAACGAGCUUUCUUUAAGCACGCACAGAGUAGAAAGGUCCCCCGGCACGGUCUUGUAACCCAUUUUCUAAGGUUGACCUCGGAUCAGGUAGGAAUACCCGCUGAACUUAA